UACAGAGACUGCAAGCGUUGUUCGGAUUCAUUGGGCGUAAAGGGUGCGCAGGCGGUCGGGCAAGUCGGAUGUGAAAUCCCGCAGCUUAACUGCGGAAGGUCAUUCGAAACUGCCCGGCUUGAGAACUGGAGAGGAGACUGGAAUUGUCGGUGUAGCGGUGAAAUGCGUAGAGAUCGACAAGAACACCGGUGGCGAAGGCGGGUCUCUGGACAGUUUCUGACGCUCAGGCACGAAAGCCAGGGGAGCAAACGGG
rnacentral:rRNA from 1 species